CCCUAUCUAGUUUAGUUGGUAGAGUGUAAGGUGCUUAACUUUGUAGUCGUGGGUUCGAGUUCCAUGGUGGGUA
rnacentral:tRNA from 1 species